GAACGGGUGAGUAACACGUGGGAAACCUACCUCUUAGCAGGGGAUAACAUUUGGAAACAGAUGCUAAUACCGUAUAACAAUGACAACCGCAUGGUUGUUAUUUAAAAGAUGGUUCUGCUAUCACUAAGAGAUGGUCCCGCGGUGCAUUAGCUAGUUGGUAAGGUAAUGGCUUACCAAGGCGAUGAUGCAUAGCCGAGUUGAGAGACUGAUCGGCCACAAUGGGACUGAGACACGGCUCAUACUCCUACGGGAGGCAGCAGUAGGGAAUCUUCCACAAUGGGCGAAAGCCUGAUGGAGCAACGCCGCGUGUGUGAUGAAGGGUUUCGGCUCGUAAAACACUGUUGUAAGAGAAGAAUGACAUUGAGAGUAACUGUUCAAUGUGUGACGGUAUCUUACCAGAAAGGAACGGCUAAAUACGUGCCAGCAGCCGCGGUAAUACGUAUGUUCCAAGCGUUAUCCGGAUUUAUUGGGCGUAAAGCGAGCGCAGACGGUUAUUUAAGUCUGAAGUGAAAGCCCUCAGCUCAACUGAGGAAUUGCUUUGGAAACUGGAUGACUUGAGUGCAGUAGAGGAAAGUGGAACUCCAUGUGUAGCGGUGAAAUGCGUAGAUAUAUGGAAGAACACCAGUGGCGAAGGCGGCUUUCUGGACUGUAACUGACGUUGAGGCUCGAAAGUGUGGGUAGCAAACAGGAUUAGAUACCCUGGUAGUCCACACCGUAAACGAUGAGUGCUAGGUGUUUGAGGGUUUCCGCCCUUAAGUGCCGCAG
rnacentral:rRNA from 1 species